GGUGAAAAGCACCCCGGAAGGGGAGUGAAAUAGAACCUGAAACCGUGUGCUUACAAGUAGUCAGAGCCCGUUAAUGGGUGAUGGCGUGCCUUUUGUAGAAUGAACCGGCGAGUUACGAUUUGAUGCAAGGUUAAGCAGUAAAUGUGGAGCCGUAGCGAAAGCGAGUCUGAAUAGGGCGUUUAGUAUUUGGUCGUAGACCCGAAACCAGGUGAUCUACCCUUGGUCAGGUUGAAGUUCAGGUAACACUGAAUGGAGGACCGAACCGACUUACGUUGAAAAGUGAGCGGAUGAACUGAGGGUAGCGGAGAAAUUCCAAUCGAACCUGGAGAUAGCUGGUUCUCUCCGAAAUAGCUUUAGGGCUAGCCUCAAGUGAUGAUUAUUGGAGGUAGAGCACUGUUUGGACGAGGGGCCCCUCUCGGGUUACCGAAUUCAGACAAACUCCGAAUGCCAAUUAAUUUAACUUGGGAGUCAGAACAUGGGUGAUAAGGUCCGUGUUCGAAAGGGAAACAGCCCAGACCACCAGCUAAGGUCCCAAAAUAUAUGUUAAGUGGAAAAGGAUGUGGCGUUGCCCAGACAACUAGGAUGUUGGCUUAGAAGCAGCCAUCAUUUAAAGAGUGCGUAAUAGCUCACUAGUCGAGUGACACUGCGCCGAAAAUGUACCGGGGCUAAACAUAUUACCGAAGCUGUGGAUUGUCCUUUGGACAAUGGUAGGAGAGCGUUCUAAGGGCGUUGAAGCAUGAUCGUAAGGACAUGUGGAGCGCUUAGAAGUGAGAAUGCCGGUGUGAGUAGCGAAAGACGGGUGAGAAUCCCGUCCACCGAUUGACUAAGGUUUCCAGAGGAAGGCUCGUCCGCUCUGGGUUAGUCGGGUCCUAAGCUGAGGCCGACAGGCGUAGGCGAUGGAUAACAGGUUGAUAUUCCUGUACCACCUAUAAUCGUUUUAAUCGAUGGGGGGACGCAGUAGGAUAGGCGAAGCGUGCGAUUGGAUUGCACGUCUAAGCAGUAAGGCUGAGUAUUAGGCAAAUCCGGUACUCAUUAAGGCUGAGCUGUGAUGGGGAGAAGACAUUGUGUCUUCGAGUCGUUGAUUUCACACUGCCGA
rnacentral:rRNA from 1 species